CAGUAGCCGCGGUAAUACAGAGGGUGCGAGCGUUAAUCGGAUUUACUGGGCGUAAAGCGUGCGUAGGCGGCUUUUUAAGUCGGAUGUGAAAUCCCUGAGCUUAACUUAGGAAUUGCAUUCAAUACUGGGAAGCUAGAGUAUGGGAGAGGAUGGUAGAAUUCCAGGUGUAGCGGUGAAAUGCGUAGAGAUCUGGAGGAAUACCGAUGGCGAAGGCAGCCAUCUGGCCUAAUACUGACGCUGAGGUACGAAAGCAUGGGGAGCAAACAGGAUUAGAUACCCCCGUAGUCCCUGUCUCUUAUAA
rnacentral:rRNA from 1 species